GCUGUCCUCCCCUCCUCCAUAGUCCUCCCCUCCUCCAUAGUCCUCCCCUCCUCCAUAGUCCUCCCCUCCUCCAUAGCCUCCUUUAGACCAGGAAGCAGAGUCCUCCCCUCCUCCAUAGUCCUCCCCUCCUCCAUAGUCCUCCCCUCCUCCAUAGCCUCCUUUAGACCAGGAAGCAGAGUCCUCCCCUCCUCCAUAGCCUCCUUUAGACCAGGAAGUAGAGUCCUCCCCUCCUCCAUAGCCUCCUUUAGACCAGGAAGUAGAGUCCUCCCCUCCUCCAUAGCCUCCUUUAGACCAGGAAGUAGAGUCCUCCCCUCCUCCAUAGUCCUCCCCUCCUCCGUAGCCUCCUUUAGACCAGGAAGCAGAGUCCUCCCCUCCUCCAUAGUCCUCCCCUCCUCCAUAGCCUCCUUUAGACCAGGAAGCAGAGUCCUCCCCUCCUCCAUAGCCUCCUUUAGACCAGGAAGUAGAGUCCUCCCCUCCUCCAUAGCCUCCUUUAGACCAGGAAGUAGAGUCCUCCCCUCCUCCAUAGCCUCCUUUAGGCCAGGAAGCAGAGUCCUCCCCUCCUCCAUAGCCUCCUUUAGACCAGGAAGUAGAGUCCUCCCCUCCUCCAUAGCCUCCUUUAGACCAGGAAGCAGAGUCCUCCCCUCCUCCAUAGCCUCCUUUAGACCAGGAAGUAGAGUCCUCCCCUCCUCCAUAGCCUCCUUUAGACCAGGAAGCAGAGUCUUCCCCUCCUCCAUAGCCUCCUUUAGACCAGGAAGCAGAGUCCUCCCCUCCUCCAUAGUCCUCCCCUCCUCCAUAGCCUCCUUUAGACCAGGAAGCAGAGUCCUCCCCUCCUCCAUAGCCUCCUUUAGACCAGGAAGUAGAGUCCUCCCCUCCUUCAUAGCCUCCUUUAGACCAGGAAGUAGAGUCCUCCCCUCCUCCAUAGCCUCCUUUAGACCAGGAAGUAGAGUCCUCCCCUCCUCCAUAGCCUCCUUUAGACCAGGAAGUAGAGUCCUCCCCUCCCCCAUAGCCUCCUUUAGACCAGGAAGCAGAGUCUUCCCCUCCUCCAUAGCCUCCUUUAGGCCAGGAAGCAGAGUCCUCACCUCCUCCAUAGCCUCCUUUAGACCAGGAAGUAGAGUCCUCCCCUCCUCCAUAGUCCUCCCCUCCUCCACUGUCCUCCCCUCCUCCAUAGUCCUCCCCUCCUCCAUAGUCCUCCCCUCCUCCAUAGCCUCCUUUAGACCAGGAAGCAUAGUCCUCCCCUCCUCCAUAGUCCUCCCCUCCUCCAUAGCCUCCUUUAGGCCAGGAAGCAGAGUCCUCCCCUCCUCCAUAGCCUCCUUUAGACCAGGAAGCAGAGUCCUCCCCUCCUCCAUAGUCCUCCCCUCCUCCAUAGCCUCCUUUAGACCAGGAAGUAGAGUCCUCCCCUCCUCCAUAGCCUCCUUUAGACCAGGAAGCAGAGUCCUCCCCUCCUCCAUAGUCCUCCCCUCCUCCAUAGCCUCCUUUAGACCAGGAAGUAGAGUCCUCCCCUCCUCCAUAGCCUCCUUUAGACCAGGAAGCAGAGUCCUCCCCUCCUCCAUAGUCCUCCCCUCCUCCAUAGCCUCCUUUAGACCAGGAAGUAGAGUCCUCCCCUCCUCCAUAGCCUCCUUUAGACCAGGAAGCACAAGUGUAUUCUACAUGAGUCUUUCACCAAAGACUUUUGAAAUCUGACACUCCCCCUUUGUUUUCUGGGAGGAGAAAUAAUACGCUACUUCUCCUUUUAUCCUGAAAUGUCUUGUACAACUAUACACUAGUCUAUCACUUUACCCCUUUCAUGUUGCAACCCCUGGAAACAUAAUUUACCUGUGGAGGAGUCUCAUUUCAUACAAGCGAGUUUUAGUCCACUUUCUCUCCUCGAUUUACCUUUGACCUUUUUGGAAAGGAGACGAGAGCGGACGGAGGAGUUGAUUAAAUCUAAUUGAGAAAAGGCCGUGGUCUACUUUGCUGGCUCAGUGCCACAUCACUUCCUGGAUCCUGUCUCAUUCUGUUUUUGAAUGGGCUUCAAGGAUAUUUCAAAUUGAUGAAAAUCCUUUAAGAUAUAUAGGUGACAUAAUGUCAGAUCUGUAGGUAAUGUGUCUGGUCCAGCAUCAUGAUAACAUGUCUGUCUGUAGUUAAUGUCUGUUCUGUCUGUAGUUAAUAUCAUGUCUGUUCUGUCUGUAGUUAAUAUCAUGUCUGGUCUGUCUGUAGUUAAUAUCAUGUCUGGUCUGUCUGUAGUUAAUAUCAUGUCUGUUCUGUCUGUAGUUAAUAUCAUGUCUGUUCUGUCUGUAGUUAAUAUCAUGUCUGUUCUGUCUGUAGUUAAUAUCAUGUCUGUUCUGUCUGUAGUUAAUAUCAUGUCUGUUCUGUCUGUAGGUAAUAUCAUGUCUGUUCUGUCUGGAGGUAAUAUCAUGUCUGUUCUGUCUGUAGGUAAUAUCAUGUCUGUUCUGUCUGUAGGUAAUGUCUGUUCUGUCUGUAGUUAAUGUCUGUUCUGUCUGUAGGUAAUGUCUGUUCUGUCUGUAGUUAAUGUCUGUUCUGUCUGUAGGUAAUGUGUCUGGUCCAGCAUCAUGAUAACAUGUCUGUCUGUAGUUAAUGUCUGUUCUGUCUGUAGUUAAUGUCUGUUCUGUCUGUAGUUAAUAUCAUGUCUGUUCUGUCUGUAGUUAAUAUCAUGUCUGGUCUGUAGGUAAUCUGUCUGGUCCAGCAUCAUGAUAACAUGUCUGUCUGUAGUUAAUGUCUGUUCUGUCUGGUCCAGCAUCAUGAUAACAUGUCUGUCUGUAGUUAAUGUCUGUUCUGUCUGUAGUUAAUAUCAUGUCUGUUCUGUCUGUAGGUAAUGUCUGUUCUGUCUGUAGGUAAUGUCUGUUCUGUCUGUAGGUAAUAUCAUGUCUGUUCUGUCUGGAGGUAAUAUCAUGUCUGUUCUGUCUGUAGGUAAUGUCUGUUCUGUCUGUAGGUAAUGUCUGUUCUGUCUGUAGUUAAUGUCUGUUCUGUCUGUAGGUAAUGUGUCUGGUCCAGCAUCAUGAUAACAUGUCUGUCUGUAGUUAAUGUCUGUUCUGUCUGUAGUUAAUGUCUGUUCUGUCUGUAGUUAAUAUCAUGUCUGUUCUGUCUGUAGUUAAUAUCAUGUCUGGUCUGUAGGUAAUCUGUCUGGUCCAGCAUCAUGAUAACAUGUCUGUCUGUAGUUAAUGUCUGUUCUGUCUGGUCCAGCAUCAUGAUAACAUGUCUGUCUGUAGUUAAUGUCUGUUCUGUCUGUAGUUAAUAUCAUGUCUGUUCUGUCUGUAGUUAAUAUCAUGUCUGUUCUGUCUGUAGGUAAUGUCUGUUCUGUCUGUAGGUAAUGUCUGUUCUGUCUGUAGGUAAUAUCAUGUCUGUUCUGUCUGGAGGUAAUAUCAUGUCUGUUCUGUCUGUAGUUAAUAUCAUGUCUGUCUGUAGUUAAUAUCAUGUCUGGUCUGUCUGUAGUUAAUAUCAUGUCUGGUCUGUCUGUAGUUAAUAUCAUGUCUGUUCUGUCUGUAGUUAAUAUCAUGUCUGUUCUGUCUGUAGUUAAUAUCAUGUCUGUUCUGUCUGUAGUUAAUAUCAUGUCUGGUCUGUCUGUAGUUAAUAUCAUGUCUGGUCUGUCUGUAGUUAAUAUCAUGUCUGUAGUUAAUAUCAUGUCUGGUCUGUCUGUAGUUAAUAUCAUGUCUGGUCUGUCUGUAGUUAAUAUCAUGUCUGGUCUGUCUGUAGUUAAUAUCAUGUCUGUAGUUAAUAUCAUGUCUGGUCUGUCUGUAGUUAAUAUCAUGUCUGUAGUUAAUAUCAUGUCUGGUCUGUCUGUAGUUAAUAUCAUGUCUGGUCUGUCUGUAGUUAAUAUCAUGUCUGUAGUUAAUAUCAUGUCUGGUCUGUCUGUAGUUAAUAUCAUGUCUGUAGUUAAUAUCAUGUCUGGUCUGUCUGUAGUUAAUAUCAUGUCUGUAGUUAAUAUCAUGUCUGGUCUGUCUGUAGUUAAUAUCAUGUCUGUUCUGUCUGUAGUUAAUAU